UACGUAGGGGGCGAGCGUUAAUCGGAAUUACUGGGCGUAAAGCGUGCGCAGGCGGUUUUGUAAGCCAGAUGUGAAAUCCCCGGGCUUAACCUGGGAACUGCAUUUGGGACUGCAAGGCUUGAGUACGGCAGAGGGGGGUAGAAUUCCUGGUGUAGCAGUGAAAUGCGUAGAUAUCAGGAGGAAUACCGAUGGCGAAGGCAGGUCUCUGGGCUGACACUGACGCUCAUGCACGAAAGCGUGGGGAGCAAACAGG
rnacentral:rRNA from 1 species